AUUCACGUGGCUGCAGGCAGAGAGGGAUGGAGGCAGAGCAAUGGUCAAGAUGCUGCUGCAGAGGGGCUGGGCUGGUGGCGCAGUGUUUAAGUUAGUGUGUUCUGCUUUGGCCACCUGGUUUCACCGGUUUGGAUCCCGGGCAUGGCAGCCUAAUGAGAACAGCUGCCUUCAGUGUGAGCGGGUUGCUCAUCCUCAGGAACGUCAGACGUGACUGCGGUGGUGGCUUCUGGAAGAAGUUUACACAUCCAAGUUCAAGUCCUUGGGUGGCCAACAUGGUUGUCGCUUUUACCGUCAGAAUCUCCCUAACAUUCUUCGUAACAGGAGGAAGGACUGUUUCUAAAACCAAACUACCAGCCAGAGGGGGCUGACCUUAGAGUGGGAAGCUUACAAUAAAUCGGAGAAUUCUGGGAAUCCAACCCCAAGAAUGCUGGCCCCUUUCCCCACUUGUGACUGUCUUUUGAACUUUAGGACUUGGCAGUCAUCCAAACCAAAUAACCCUGGGGGGCAAAAGCCAAUGGAGUCCAGAACAAUUUCUGCCUCUUUGUUUCAGAUUAGAUGUAUUUAACGGAUGUAUCUCAGAAUGCUUGCCCCUUUCCGUUCUCAGAACAGCUUCUCUAGUAGAAUGAGAAUCUGCAUGAAUUUUUUUUUUUUCACUAUGCUUUUAUAACAAGGCAUUUGGUUGUUUCAUUGGGAGAGAAUUUCCAAGAUUUCAAACUCUAGUCUCUGGUCCUAAGUAUCCUGGUGGCACCACUUAGAUGUGCUAAUUGAAGUCACUUGUUAAAGUGAGUGGGUCUUAGCACUGGAACCUUGUGCUGUUUAAGAACAUAGAUGCUCACUCCUCUGGCUCUCUCCUUUCUGGCCUCUCCUAAUUCUGGCUUCCACUUGCUCCGGCGCUGACCUGCUUGAUCAGUGCCUACACCUGGGGGUUGUGGGCAGCUAGUUAGAGCCUCAUACGCAAUCGGUGAAUUAGGAACUAAUACGACCCCCAUUUUACAGUGGCAGAAAUGAAUGCCCAGAAAGGUUAAAUGAUUCAUAUAAGACCACUCAGCUCUGGACUUUUCUGCUUUUGAUUCUAUAAUCCAAAGAAUCCAUGAUUCUCAUUUCAUCUGUAAAACAGCAAAAAUUACUACCCACUUACUUGGAUGGUGAGGAUGAAAGAUAUAUAGAUGCAAAAUUAGUGAGACUAGCAUCAAGAAGGCUGGGGUCAUUGGGAGCCAACUGAAGAAAUUGGGGGCAUUAAAUAUCACCCCAAGUAUUUUGUAUGAGUUGGCUCUGGCUGCCACAGCAAAAUAUCAUAGACUGGGCGGCUUAAACAAUACAAAUGUAUUUUCUCACAGUUCUGGAAGUUGGAAGUCUGAGAUCAGGAUGCCAGCAGGGUCAGGUUCUGGUGAUGACUCUCUUCCUGGCUUGAUCACAUGGUGGUCUCAGAUGUCUCUUCUUAUGAGGAUGCUAGUCCUCUGGUAUCAGGGCCCCAUCCUUAUGACCUCAGUUAAUCUUAAUUACCUCCUUAUAGAUC
ensembl:lncRNA